rnacentral:tRNA from 1 species
GCCUUCUUAGCUCAGUGGUAGAGCGCUGGUCUCGUAAUAAUAGCAAAGUUAAAAUGAAGCAAACCAGAUGUCGAGAGUUCAAUCCUCUCAGAAGGCA